rnacentral:rRNA from 1 species
UGGCUCAGGAUGAACGCUAGCGGCAGGCUUAACACAUGCAAGUCGAGGGGUAACAGAGGUAGCUUGCUACUUGCUGACGACCGGCGCACGGGUGCGUAACGCGUAUACAAUCUACCUUGUACAGGGGAAUAGCCCAGAGAAAUUUGGAUUAAUGCCCCAUAGUAUUAUUGAAUGGCAUCAUUUAAUAAUUAAAACUCCGGUGGUACAAGAUGAGUAUGCGUUCUAUUAGCUAGAUGGUAAGGUAACGGCUUACCAUGGCUACGAUAGAUAGGGGUCCUGAGAGGGAGAUCCCCCACACUGGUACUGAGACACGGACCAGACUCCUACGGGAGGCAGCAGUGAGGAAUAUUGGACAAUGGUCGCAAGACUGAUCCAGCCAUGCCGCGUGCAGGAAGACUGCCCUAUGGGUUGUAAACUGCUUUUAUAUGGGAAGAAUAAGAUCUACGUGUAGAUCGAUGACGGUACCAUAAGAAUAAGCACCGGCUAACUCCGUGCCAGCAGCCGCGGUAAUACGGAGGGUGCAAGCGUUAUCCGGAAUCAUUGGGUUUAAAGGGUCCGUAGGCGGGCAUAUAAGUCAGUGGUGAAAGUCUGUGGCUCAACCAUAGAACUGCCAUUGAAACUGUAUGUCUUGAAUUAUUGUGAAGUGGUUAGAAUAUGUAGUGUAGCGGUGAAAUGCUUAGAUAUUACAUAGAAUACCGAUUGCGAAGGCAGAUCACUAACAAUAUAUUGACGCUGAUGGACGAAAGCGUAGGUAGCGAACAGGAUUAGAUACCCUGGUAGUCUACGCCGUAAACGAUGGUUACUAGCUGUUUGGACUUCGGUUUGAGUGGCUAAGCGAAAGUGAUA